GGGCUCGUAGCGUAAUGGUAUCGCGCACCCAUGGCAUGGGUGAGACUACGGGUUCGAUUCCCGUCGAGUCCA
rnacentral:tRNA from 1 species